rnacentral:rRNA from 1 species
CUCGUAGGCGGUCUGUUGCGUCCGCUGUGAAAACUCGGGGCUUAACCCCGAGCCUGCAGUGGAUACGGGCAGACUAGAGGUAGGUAGGGGAGAAUGGAAUUCCCGGUGUAGCGGUGAAAUGCGCAGAUAUCGGGAGGAACACCGGUGGCGAAGGCGGUUCUCUGGGCCUUACCUGACGCUGAGGAGCGAAAGCGUGGGGAGCGAACAGGAUUAGAUACCCUGGUAGUCCACGCCGUAAACGUUGGGCGCUAGGUGUGGGAUCCUUCCACGGAUUCCGUGCCGCAGCUAACGCAUUAAGCGCCCCGCCUGGGGAGUACGGCCGCAAGGCUAA